GUCUUUACAACUGGUCAUAUUUAAUGGCCUAAGAUAAUCACGACUCGUUCAUGACAUGGGUAACAAGCGUUCAUCGGACGCCAUUUUGAGAUACACUGUACCAAAUACAAGCCUGCUCUGUGAGCGACGCUCAUUUUGGGCUAUUCAAAAUCAACUGAAGUCAUGGAGUUCUUCCUGCUGAGGAUGUUUUUCAUUCUGAUUUGCGACCUGGACCGUGCAUUUAAAGGAGUCUCAGCGCUCGACUUUGUUCCCGUUCAAGACACGAAUCCCCACAGCACAAUGCACCUUUGGCGUCCAAUUAGCGUCUUCUUCGUUGGUGACGAACAGUUCCGGACACUACAAGACACAGUCGUAAUGCCAGACAACGUCACGGAGUUUUAUCUAUACUCACAGAGCAUGCUAAAUAUCGAGCCCUCUCCCCCUUUUCCUUGAGGGGCCUCCAUUGGUCGGAUGGAACAGAGGGAUAUGCUCAAUAUCGUUCGAAAAGAAAAAGAAGUCAAAGUAUCACAGA